UGACUCCAGACUUUGGGUGCUGACAAGC
rnacentral:piRNA from 1 species